rnacentral:rRNA from 1 species
UACGUAGGGUGCAAGCGUUGUCCGGAAUUAUUGGGCGUAAAGAGCUCGUAGGCGGUCUGUUACGUCGGCUGUGAAAACCUGGGGCUCAACUCCGGGCCUGCAGCCGAUACGGGCAGACUAGAGUUCGGCAGGGGAGACUGGAAUUCCUGGUGUAGCGGUGAAAUGCGCAGAUAUCAGGAGGAACACCGGUGGCGAAGGCAGGUCUCUGGGCUGACACUGACGCUCAUGCACGAAAGCGUGGGGAGCAAACAGG